rnacentral:rRNA from 1 species
GACGAACGCUGGCGGCGUGCUUAACACAUGCACGUCGAACGAAGUGGCGAACGGGUGAGUAACGCGUAAUCAACCUGCCCUUCAGAGGGGGACAACAGUUGGAAACGACUGCUAAUACCGCAUAAUGAAGGAGGGGAUUGCGUCUGCUGAGCUAGUGGGUGGGGUAAAGGCCCACCAAGGCGAUGAUCAGUAGCCGGGCGGAGAGGAGUGACGGCGACAUUGGGGCUGAGACACGGCCCAGACUCCUACGGGAGGCAGCAGGGGGGAAUCUUCCGCAAUGGACGAAAGUCUGACGGAGGAACGCCGCGGGAGUGAGGACGGCCUUCGGGUUGUAAAGAGCUGUUAAUCGGGACGCGGUACCUGAAUAGAAAGCCACGGCUAACUACGUGCCAGCCGCCGCGGUAAUUC